CCUACGGGAGGCAGCAGUGGGGAAUAUUGGACAAUGGGGGGAACCCUGAUCCAGCCAUGCCGCGUGUGUGAAGAAGGCCCUCGGGUUGUAAAGCACUUUCAGUGAGGAAGAACGCCUGGUGGUUAAUACCCAUCAGGAAAGACAUCACUCACAGAAGAAGCACCGGCUAACUCCGUGCCAGCAGCCGCGGUAAUACGGAGGGUGCGAGCGUUAAUCGGAAUUACUGGGCGUAAAGCGCGCGUAGGUGGCUUGAUAAGCCGGUUGUGAAAGCCCCGGGCUCAACCUGGGAACGGCAUCCGGAACUGUCAAGCUAGAGUGCAGGAGAGGAAGGUAGAAUUCCCGGUGUAGCGGUGAAAUGCGUAGAGAUCGGGAGGAAUACCAGUGGCGAAGGCGGCCUUCUGGACUGACGCUGACACUGAGGUGCGAAAGCGUGGGUAGCAAACAGGAUUAGAUACCCCUGUAGUC
rnacentral:rRNA from 1 species